UGCCAAACAACAACAACAAAAAUUACGUCGCUAGUAUCAAGAUGGAUGCUCCGGUACAUGCUCAACUGAACUCUGAAGGAGUGGAUGCUGAUUAAUCACCGACCGACCUCUGGAGCAGCGUUUGGCGAGGGCGAGCUUGUGGUCGAGGUGGGCGCUGGUGACCGACGACAUCUUCGACGGAAACGGCUACUGCUCACUGGCUAAGUAGGUAUGGGAGGUGUGAUCGAGAGAGACGAGAUGGGCUGGCUGUUGCUUGAUUGAUUCCAAGGUUGUCCUGAAUUUAUAGGGGAACGAAAAGGUGGCGGCCACGCAUGGUUUUGGGCGCAAACCGUGGGUGCUCUGCUGAUCUGCUUUGCUCACUCGUUUUGCACUUGGACAGACACGAGUUUGUUGGCGGGGCAGAGCACCGCACGCUUUCCGAGAGCGGCAGGGUAGGCCGGUUCUCCAAAACUAUGGUAGGAAUCCACAGGAUUCAACGACGUUUGUUUGUUCCCUCGUCUUUAUAUUUUACCCACCAAAGUUAGCAAGAAAAAGGAGAUCUCGAUCGAUAUAAAGUUGGGCACGACAGUUGCUGAUCACAUCACAUGCCGUCGGUUUCACUCGUAAUCGUCGAGCGGCGCUCCCGCAAAACACUUUUUUACCGGUUCAGGAAUGUACCNNNNNNNNNNGAGGUCGCUUGUAUCAAGAUGGAUGCUCCGGUACACGCUUGGUUAAUCACCGACCGACCUCUGGAGCAGCGCUUGGCGAGGGCGAGCUUGUGGUCGAGGUGGGCACGGGUGACCGACGACAUCUUCUUCGCGCUUGAUCCUCGACGGAAACGGGGCUACUGCUCACUGGCCAAGUAGGUAUGGGAGGUGUGAUCGAGAGAGACGAGAUGGGCCGGCUGUUGCUUGAUUGAUUCCAAGGUUGCCCUGUAUUUAUAGGGAGCGAAAAGGUGGCGGCCACGCAUGGUUUUGGGCGCAAACCGUGGGUUCUCUGCAGUGCUCACUCGCUUGGACUUGGAGUGCUGAAAUGCGAGUUGGUGGGCGGGGCAGAGCACCG
rnacentral:lncRNA from 1 species